GUCACGUACGCGUCUUACAGCCCAUGAAACGCUCUGCCCGCGCAUGCGUCGUAAACACGCGUCUUGUUUUAUUUAAAUUGAAACACAUUUUCUAAAAGAAAUAAUCUUUUCAUUACUUUUCUUCCAUUCGUUAUAAUUUUUCGCGUCUUUUGAGCCAAUUUACAUAAUUUUACGAAAUCGCGUUUAGUUUUUAUUAAUAAAACAAAAAAAUAUGAUAGUUCGAGUUUUUAAUACGCGGCGCCGCUUGUAUCGGGCCUUUUCGCCGGCCAGCAGCCAGCAGUGACGCGGCGGACGCGGCUCACCGGUCGUUGUUCGUGUUCGGUUAAAAAAUCGCGCCGCGUCGCGAUGUUUUUCGAGGUUAUGUUCGGAUUAGAGUCGAUUUGGGUCGUUCAGGAGGACGUUACGUUACACUCGUUAAAGAUAUCACUCUCACUGGAAAUUUGGGCGAUGAUUUCGAUGCGUCGAUUGUUCAAAAUUGUUUACGAUACAAAGCAGCAAAGCAAGCUUUUUUUCUUGCACCGGAUUCACACGUUAUUUACAUAUAAAUUACGUAAUAAACAUUCAUUAGGUCUA